rnacentral:rRNA from 1 species
GACAAACGCUGGCGGCGUGCUUAACACAUGCAAGUCGAACGGUGUAGCAAUACCUAGUUGCGCACGGGUGAGUAACGCGUGGAUAAUCUGCCUUAGAGUGGGGGAUAACUAGUCGAAAGAUUAGCUAAUACCGCAUAAGACCACAAGAACUGCGGUUCAAGGGGUCAAAGGUUUUUCGCUCGAAGAUGAGUCCGCGUAAGAUUAGCUAGUUGGUGAGGUAAUGGCUCACCAAGGCGACGAUCUUUAACUGGUCUGAGAGGAUGAUCAGUCACACUGGAACUGAGACACGGUCCAGACUACUACGGGAGGCAGCAGUAGGGAAUAUUGCAAAAUGGAGGAAACUCUGAUGCAGCGAGGCCGCGUGAGUGAUGAAGGCCUUCGGGUCGUAAAGCUCUGUCGCAGGGGAAUAACACAAUGAAUGUACCCUGUAAGAAAGGAUCGGCUAACUUCGUGCCAGCCGCCGCCGUAAAAC